rnacentral:rRNA from 1 species
UACGUAGGGCGCGAGCGUUGUCCGGAAUCAUUGGGCGUAAAGGGCUCGUAGGUGGCCAACUAAGUCAGACGUGAAAUCCCUCGGCUUAACCGGGGGAACUGCGUCUGAUACUGGAUGGCUUGAGUUCGGGAGAGGGAUGCGGAAUUCCAGGUGUAGCGGUGAAAUGCGUAGAUAUCUGGAGGAACACCGGUGGCGAAGGCGGCGUCCUGGGACCGACACUGACGCUGAGGAGCGAAAGCCAGGGGAGCAAACGGG